rnacentral:rRNA from 1 species
ANUUUAACGCUGGCGGCAGGCCUAACUCAUGCAAGUCGACCGGAAACGAGUUAACUGAACCUUCGGGGAACGUUAACGGCGUCGAGCGGCGGACGGGUGAGUAAUGCCUAGGAAAUUGCCCUGAUGUGGGGGAUAACCAUUGGAAACGAUGGCUAAUACCGCAUAAUGCCUUCGGGCCAAAGAGGGGGACCUUCGGGCCUCUCGCGUCAGGAUAUGCCUAGGUGGGAUUAGCUAGUUGGUGAGGUAAGGGCUCACCAAGGCGACGAUCCCUAGCUGGUCUGAGAGGAUGAUCAGCCACACUGGAACUGAGACACGGUCCAGACUCCUACGGGAGGCAGCAGUGGGGAAUAUUGCACAAUGGGCGCAAGCCUGAUGCAGCCAUGCCGCGUGUAUGAAGAAGGCCUUCGGGUUGUAAAGUACUUUCAGCAGUGAGGAAGGUGGUGUAGUUAAUAACUGCAUCAUUUGACGUUAGCUGCAGAAGAAGCACCGGCUAACUCCGUGCCAGCAGCCGCGGGUAAUA